AUUGAACGCUGGCGGCAUGCUUUACGCAUGCAAGUCGAACGGUAACAGGCCGCAAGGUGCUGACGAGUGGCGAACGGGUGAGUAAUGCAUCGGAACGUGCCCAGUCGUGGGGGAUAACUACUCGAAAGAGUAGCUAAUACCGCAUACGAUCUAUGGAUGAAAGCGGGGGACCGUAAGGCCUCGCGCGAUUGGAGCGGCCGAUGUCAGAUUAGGUAGUUGGUGGGGUAAAGGCUCACCAAGCCAACGAUCUGUAGCUGGUCUGAGAGGACGACCAGCCACACUGGGACUGAGACACGGCCCAGACUCCUACGGGAGGCAGCAGUGGGGAAUUUUGGACAAUGGGCGCAAGCCUGAUCCAGCAAUGCUGCGUGCAGGAAGAAGGCCUUCGGGUUGUAAACUGCUUUUGUACGGAACGAAACGGCUCUGGUUAAUACCCGGGGCUAAUGACGGUACCGUAAGAAUAAGCACCGGCUAACUACGUG
rnacentral:rRNA from 1 species